rnacentral:rRNA from 1 species
CCUACGGGAGGCUGCAGUGGGGAAUAUUGGACAAUGGGCGAAAGCCUGAUCCAGCCAUGCCGCGUGUGUGAAGAAGGCCUUCGGGUUGUAAAGCACUUUCAGUGGGGAAGAAAGCCUUGGGGCUAAUACCCUCGAGGAAGGACAUCACCCACAGAAGAAGCACCGGCUAACUCCGUGCCAGCAGCCGCGGUAAUACGGAGGGUGCGAGCGUUAAUCGGAAUUACUGGGCGUAAAGCGCGCGUAGGCGGUCUGAUAAGCCGGUUGUGAAAGCCCCGGGCUCAACCUGGGAACGGCAUCCGGAACUGUCAGGCUAGAGUGCAGGAGAGGAAGGUAGAAUUCCCGGUGUAGCGGUGAAAUGCGUAGAGAUCGGGAGGAAUACCAGUGGCGAAGGCGGCCUUCUGGACUGACACUGACGCUGAGGUGCGAAAGCGUGGGUAGCAAACAGGAUUAAUACCCCUGUAGUC